rnacentral:rRNA from 1 species
AUUGAACGCUGGCGGCAGGCCUAACACAUGCAAGUCGAGCGGAUGAAGGGAGCUUGCUCCUGGCUUCAGCGGCGGACGGGUGAGUAAUGCCUAGGAAUCUGCCUGGUAGUGGGGGAUAACGUCCGGAAACGGGCGCUAAUACCGCAUACGUCCUGAGGGAGAAAGUGGGGGAUCUUCGGACCUCACGCUAUCAGAUGAGCCUAGGUCGGAUUAGCUAGUUGGUGGGGUAAAGGCCUACCAAGGCGACGAUCCGUAACUGGUCUGAGAGGAUGAUCAGUCACACUGGAACUGAGACACGGUCCAGACUCCUACGGGAGGCAGCAGUGGGGAAUAUUGGACAAUGGGCGAAAGCCUGAUCCAGCCAUGCCGCGUGUGUGAAGAAGGUCUUCGGAUUGGAAAGCACUUUAAGGUGGGAGGAAGGGCAGUAAGUUAAUACCUUGCUGUUUUGACGUUACCAACAGAAUAAGCACCGGCUAACUUCGUG